GUGGGGAAUAUUGGACAAUGGGGGGAACCCUGAUCCAGCCAUGCCGCGUGUGUGAAGAAGGCCUUUUGGUUGUAAAGCACUUUAAGCGAGGAGGAGGCUACCGAGAUUAAUACUCUUGGAUAGUGGACGUUACUCGCAGAAUAAGCUCCGGCUAACUCUGUGCCAGCAGCCGCGGUAAUACAGAGGGUGCAAGCGUUAAUCGGAUUUACUGGGCGUAAAGCGCGCGUAGGUGGCCAAUUAAGGCAAAUGUGAAAUCCCCGAGCUUAACUUGGGAAUUGCAUUCGAUACUGGUUGGCUAGAGUAUGGGAGAGGAUGGUAGAAUUCCAGGUGUAGCGGUGAAAUGCGUAGAGAUCUGGAGGAAUACCGAUGGCGAAGGCAGCCAUCUGGCCUAAUACUGACACUGAGGUGCGAAAGCAUGGGGAGCAAACAGGAUUAGAAACCCUUGUAGUCC
rnacentral:rRNA from 1 species